ensembl:lncRNA
GUUUGACUCACUGAUCCAAUCGCAGUGGUUCACAGUUCACUGGAGCAAGGCAAUGGCUUAAGCUUCAGUCUGUUCUGUACUUAAAGCUAUUGUAUGGAUUCAGAAGACUUGGACUUUAGUCAUAAAUCUAUAGAGUCAUAUGGACUACUUUCAUGAUGCUUUGCUUAUGUCUUUGGUGAUUUUUGCAACUUAAGUGAGGUCAGCUGUCAUUGUAUAUUAAAACAACUUGAUUGAAGAUCUUUACAAGUUUGGAGCGACAAGAGUGUGUGCUCUGUGUACACAUGCUGUGCUGGUUUUAAUCCCCAUACCUUAUCUCCUUGUGAAAAAGACAGAAGACCUUGCUGCUGACUGAGACGGAGAUGAAAAGUGGAGACUAGCUGCUCUGCUGUCUCAGCACCUCGCCGGACUUGUUAGCUGUAAAAUGCUCUGCUCCACUGUGGAUGCAGUCC